rnacentral:lncRNA from 1 species
UUUUUUUGCCUUUAUGACCUAAAAACUCAUCCCGGCCGCUCCUUGGAUACAUUCAUAGGCUGGUCUUGACCCUCACAGAGAGGGACCACCAGGGGAUGGGAUCAUAUGUGUCCACUGGUUCUCCACACUGGCUAUCAGUUACCUCUCCUUUCCUUAGACAUUUGCCUCCUUCUGACUCCUACCACAUUCAGGGGUUAUUACUUACUAAAUUGAUUUUUUUUUUUACUGAUCCCCAGUAGUUAAAGCCCUAGCAAUGUCUGUUCAUUCCCUUCCGUUUUUAUAUAAUGAUUCCACUGUAGAUAGUAGCAAUUUAAAACAGAAAUAAAACUCACUCCCCUGUUUUCACUGUAAGGUUUGCUGUCAUAUAAUAGAAGCCUGGUGUCCACAUUUUCAUGGAGGCCCUAACUCAUUCCUUGGUUCCAUUCACCUCUCUUAUUUAACUUUCUUUUCUUCCUUUCAUAUCCAACUGACCUAAGAGAGUAGUGAACACCCAGUACCUCUGCUCCUGCACCUUCCAAUACCCCUUUCCUCGCUGCAUUCCUUCUGCCCUGGUAUCUGGCUCCUAUCCACAGCUCUCCACUGUCGUUGUCCUUGGUAAUGUCAUUCUUCAUAAUGUAGAUGAUGAGCCUGGGGAUGUGGUGGUGCACAUCUGUAAUCCCAGCUGCUUAGGAGGCUGAGGUGGGAGGAUGGAAAGUUGGAGGCCAGCCUGGGCAACUUAGUGAGAUCUUGCUUCAAAAUAAAGAAUAAAAAGGACUGGGUAUGGAGCUCAGUGGUAGAGCCCUGGGUUCCACCCUGGGUACCACCAUCAAUCAAUACAAGUUGAUCACUUCUCUCGUACCCCUCCUUUCUUUCUUGAAGGACACCAUUCAGCCUUGAUCCACCUCCCCCUUGUUCAAUGCACCUCCUCCAAUAUUGCUACACAAGUCUCACUGUUAGACUUCACAUAUUUUUACUCUGCUGCUGUCUCCAGGUGAGCUCAUCCUAUUUAGAUCAGGGGCAUCCCUUCUCUUUGUGCACUCCCCAUUUAUGUCAGUACCGUGUACUUAGUCUCAUUGCACCCAUAUAUUGAAACACUUCUCCUGUUUAUCAGGGGAGUGGAAUAUUCCUAGGUCUCUCUCUCUCUCUCUCUCUCUCUCUCUCUCCCCCCCCCCCACCACUGGAGUGCUUGAGUAGAACCCAGAGGCUCACACAUGCUAGGCAAGCACCCUACCACUGACCUACCCUCCCAGCCCUAGAUAAUGUUACAUAACACAUCCACAGUGUCCAACAGGCAUUUGAUGAAUAGCAACAUUAGGAAAAUUGCUAAAAUCUCUACUCCCAAAGUCUGCUCUAUUUCCUUGUUUCCUUCAUUCAUUCCUCUGGGGUGCAGUUUAGCUGGGGACAGGCCCAGGUAUUUGGCUUAGCAUAGAUCAAAGUGACCUAAUGGGAAAUAGCUUAGCAUAAUUCUCUAACCAAGUCAUAAAAGUACCUAUUGUCCUGUCCAAACACCAAAUUACAUGUGAGGUCAUUCAGAGUCCGGAAGAUGGUUGCUGUGAUAAGGACUGAGACAUUCUUGAUCAAGUGGGAACUGGUAUUUGUGAGCAUAUUCUGCAUUAAUAACUCACCAAAGCCAAGUUCUUAAGUUGAAGUGGCUAACAAGUGUCUUCUAAUGAGCUGAACUCUUCCACUUACAGUGUGGCCACCCUCCUAUCAGUUGACAACCAUCUCCUGUUGACCUUGGGUGGACUGCAAAUGGGCCUUGAAAGAUUUUAGCCAUUAAGUGAGGCUGAUAAAACCUCGUGAAGAUUGGCAAGUUUAUGUUGGCCCCAAGGUCUCUUAAAGGUCCUUUUUAAUAUCUUUAAAUUUUGAGCUUUAUCAACAUGAUCUUGAGAUCUGUCUAAGGCAUCAUGCCAAACCUAAUGAAGACUUUACUAGGUAUGAUCAACUGAAAGCCCUCAGGACCCCACACAAGGUAUAUUAAAAACACACACACACACAAACAAUCAAUAAAUGUGCCAAGGACCUGAACAGACACUUCUCAGAAGAUGAUUUACAAUCAAUCAACAAAUAUAUGAAAAAAUGUUCAUCAUUGCUACCAAUUAGAUGCCGUAGUCCGGCUGCAGCAAAAUAACCGGGGGGUGACGAACAACUUGUGUAGAUUGAUACAGCAGGAGUGGAAGCCGUUUACUGCAGGACAGGAGCGGUAUUUAUACAUUCCACUCAGCUUAUCUAAUUAGCAUAAACUAGAUACAUCAGUCAACCAAUAAGAAAUCUCCACACUUAAUGGCUCGCUGGCGUAACUUCACAAACCACUCCCUCUGGCAAAAUGCCAGGUGCCAUCCAGACUGUUUACAGACUCUAACAUUUGCCAGGUGCCAUCCUGACUUGUUUACAGACUCUAACAAUUAGAGGAAUGCAAAUCAAAACUACUCUAAGAUAUCAUCUCAGUCCAGUCAGAAUGACAGCUAUUAUGAAGACAAACAACAAUAAGUGUUGGUGAGGAUGUGGGAGAAAAGGCACACUUACAUCUGCUGGUGGGACUGCAAAUCGGUGCAGCCAAUAUGGAAAGCAGUAUGGAGAUUUCUUGGAAAAUUGGGAAUGGAACCACCAUUUGACCCAGCUAUCCCUCUCCUAGGUCUAUAUCUAAAGGACUUAAAAACAGCAUACUGCAGGGACACAGCCACAUCAAUGUUUAUAGCAGCACAAUUCAAAAUAGCUAACUGUGGAACCAACCUAGAUGCCCUUCAAUAGAUGAAUGGAUAAAAAAAUGUGACAUAUAUACGCAGUGGAAUAUUACUCAGCAAUAAAAGAGAAUAAAAUCAUGGCAUUUGGAGGUAAAUGGAUGGAGUUAGAGAAGAUAAUGCUAAGUGAAGUUGGCCAAUCCCAAAUAACCAAAUGUUGAUUUUUUUCCUCUGAUAUAAGGAGACUGAUUCAUAGUGGGGUAGGGAGGGGGAGCAUGGAG